AGUCCAUUGUGUGGGCAGCAUCGUAGUAAGUCCUUAUAUGUCUCCCAAGUAUCAUACAUCGACUCAUCAUCAAACUGCACAAAAGAAGAUAUGUCAUUUCUAAGUUU